GCGUUCUGCCUCCUCUGCUGCCGGUCGUGGCUGGCCGCCGCUGGCAGCGGGAUGUGGAAGUAAGGGGCGGUGGGCGCCCCUCGGUGUGCCGAAAGCGGUAGCGCAGCUGUAUGGAGAAGGAAGGAGUUGGAACAGUCUUUGAUUAGCUUGCUGUUGCCUGCCAUCUGAACUGAUCAAGGAGUACUCCCCUGGGUGCCUUUGGGCCAUGUGGUGGAAAAGAAAGACAGACCUGGAUUCAUUAGGAGUAACCGAUUUAAUUUUAUAAGGUUGGACCAGAGGAAAGUGAGCAAGUUUCAGGUCCACCCCUGAUUUGUUGCCCUGUCACACCAAAUACCUGCUGA